GACGAACGCUGGCGGCGUGCUUAACACAUGCAAGUCGAACGGAAAGGCCCUGCUUUUGUGGGGUGCUCGAGUGGCGAACGGGUGAGUAACACGUGAGUAACCUGCCCUUGACUGUGGGAUAACUUCAGGAAACUGGGGCUAAUACCGGAUAGGAGCUCCUGCUGCAUGGUGGUGGUUGGAAAGGUUCGGCGGUUGGGGAUAGACUCGCGGGUUAUCAACUUGUUGGUGGGGUAGUGGCUUACCAAGGCUUUGACGGGUAGCCGGCCUGAGAGGGUGACCGGCCACAUUGGGACUGAGAUACGGACCAGACUGCUACGGGCGGCAGCAGUGGGGAAUAAUGCACGAUGGGCGGAAGCAUCACGCAGCAAGGCCGCGUGCGGGAUGAAGGCCUUCGGGUUGUAAACCGCUUUCGCCUGUGACGAAGCGUGAGUGACGGUAAUGGGUAAAGAAGCACCGGCUAACUACGUG
rnacentral:rRNA from 1 species